ACGGAUCACAGCUUCGGCCCACACUUUGGGGAAGGUGCUUCCCUGGGGCUCGCUCUGGAUCAGGCUCCUGCGCCCUCAGGGGCACCCUUCUCACGCCACUGCCGAGUUUGCGCCCCUCCUGGGACAGUUUGAGAGGUGAACAAACUUUUGAACAGAUAAAAAUCAAGAGGAGUCCGUCUGGAGCAGGAGCAGGUUCCUGUUUGACCGCAAGGGCAGUGGUGAGGGGUAAAGCAGGAGUGGAGAGGAUCAAGAUUCAAAGGCAGGCCAGCAGCUGGACGCCAGGAAGAUCAAUAAAGAUCACAGCUAUUCCCUCCACACUCAAAGAAGAGAAGAUAGCAUUCCCACCAAGGGGCAUUCCUAGCCCCUUGUAGGUUUGCUGUGUCACUCUCUAGAAAUGGCUCUGCCUCUCUGUUCUUCUGGCUCCAUAAGAUGAAGCUGAAUUUGGUGUCCAAAGUUGGUUCAUUCCCAGAUCGUGAAAAGAAUAGAAGAGCAAGUUCAAGACCCAGAUUUCUGGCCAAGGAACAAUCAUCUAAGAAAUUGUAAGUGGGAUUGACCUGAGUGUGGAUGAGUCAGGGCUGUGGAAGAGGAAGUGGUCAUCCCUCUGGGGGGUCAGUCCUACCAGGGUCGAAGUAAACCUUUCCAGACACACAGACCCCUCUGCUCCCUCAGAGCUUGAAAAGGUUAAGACUCAAAAGCUGCCCUGAAACCUGGAAAUCUUUCCUUCAACGUUAAAAGUCUUCAGACGUUCCUCCUGUUGUCCAGCCUCAGGGACUGCUCCCUAUCCCAGGAGGCGCCUCCCCCAAAGAAAGCAUGUCGGUCACAAUCAGUGAUCCUCCAAAGCCCCAGGCAUCCUUCUAGACACUUCUGUCUUCUGGAAUCAGAAGAAGGGCUGCCAACUCCAUCAGAAAUCAGGUUGCUCCUGGAGCCAUGCCGGUGAGCACAUAAACACUUCUUGAAUCCCUGCCCUCAUCGUAGAGGUCAUGGCUUACACUGGACACGUGGGUGUUGAGUGAUGGAGGCAGGGAAGGCAAAUGAAACUCCAAGCCUUGCCGGACGAAGGCCCCAGGCUACAAGCAGAUCCUAAAGGACUCACCUCAGCCCCAAGGUUGGACAUGUGAUCAUGUGUGGAUCUCAGACACCCAAGCUAGACAGAAGGAAGGACUUCCCCGAGUACGGGUUGGCAGUGCUGUUAGCAAUUUCAUCAGACAUGGAGGCCUCUCUUCUUGGAAGGCAGUGAAGCAGGAGAGUCCCCAUGCUGCUGAGCCAGGGGUGAGGUAAGUCCCCCGUCUUCACGAAGAUUGGGGGAGGGGAUGGCUAACAUGACACCUCAAGACCCUACCCAGCAGAGAUGUGAAUAUGAGGACAAGAGGACACACAGAGGGACAGACGGAUGGAAGGACUGGAGGAGCAGGGAGGGGGAGCAUGGUGGGAGAGAUGAAUGGUCUCCGGUGGACUGAUGGAUGGUGGCUGAGGUUUGUUUACUGGCAGCCCCUAGCCCGCCAUCGCCGGGGGAGAGG